AGUGAACGCUGGCGGCGUGCUUAACACAUGCAAGUCGAACGAGAACGGGCCUAGCAAUAGGUUGUCAGCUAAGUGGCGAACGGGUGAGUAAUACAUUGGAACAUGCCCUAUAGUCUGGGAUAACAGUUGGAAACGACUGCUAAUACCGGAUACACCCUACGGGGGGAAAGAUUCAUUGCUAUAGGAUUGGCCAAUGGCCUAUCAGCUAGUUGGUGAGGUAACGGCUCACCAAGGCUAUGACGGGUAACUGGUUUGAGAGGAUGAUCAGUCACACUGGAACUGAGACACGGUCCAGACUCCUACGGGAGGCAGCAGUGGGGAAUAUUGCACAAUGGGGGAAACCCUGAUGCAGCAACGCCGCGUGGAGGAUGACGCAUUUAGGUGUGUAAACUCCUUUUAUAAUGGAAGAUAAUGACGGUACAUUAUGAAUAAGCACCGGCUAACUCCGU
rnacentral:rRNA from 1 species